CAAACAUUCUGAGAAUAAUCUUUGUAAAAUAAUUAUUACAUUAUUAAAACUGGUUGAGUUGUUGAAUCGUUACUGAAAGCUGUCCGGAUAGAGUGAUCAGAAAAGGAUACAGCUGUUGUUUCUCCCCGGACGCGAUAUGUGGCUGCACCGUAACGGUCUCAACAUCUUCAACCUCAAAACCGUGAAAAAACAAACAAAGAAAAACAUGUUUUGCUGGACGAGCAGCAGCGUGGGCUCGGAGCCGCUCGACGGCGUCGCUAACAUGUCUAAGAGCGACAUACUGAGAGGAAUCAUCACUGAGAAACUGAGCACAGCCGCCCGGGAGAUCUUAGCGGUGGUGGAGAGGACGAUAGCUGACUACGAGGAGGAGGUCGCGGGCUUCAGACAGGAGAUCGACCGGCAGAGGAGACUGCUGGAGCUUCUGCAGCCUCGGGUCAAGCUUGAGAGAAGAGAGUUGACACCAGAGCUGCACAGCUGUGACGUAUUGAUGGAAGCCAGUCUCGAGGAGAAUGAGCAUCACACGCAGCAGUCAGACAUUCUCUGUCCAGAUGUGAAGGACACUGUGAACUCAGGUCUCCCGGUGUACGAUAAUGUGGACGAGGAGGGGGUGGAGAUGCCAUUUGUGCAACCAGACACAAGCUCCACACAGCAUGAAGAACAUCUUAAGGAACCAGAUCAUCAAAUACCUAUGCACAUAUCAAUUUGGAAUUCUGCCUCAAAGCCAGAAUUACAGGAAUGCACCACGUGUUGCAGAAGACUUUUUCACUGCCCUCUGUGCCCCACUUUCAGCCCUACUGUCAGGGCAGUGAUUGAGGAGCAUAUAAAUGGACACAUUAAAAAUGCUUUGCCUUUUAAAGAUAAAAUGAUAUGCCGGUGCAGACUGCCAUGUAGGACAACAGGACACUUUCACUGUCCUGUCUGUAACAUGACAAUCAUACGGCGUGGGGAUAUGGCAAGGCAUUUAUUGUCAUGUCAGCAUUCUUCAAUAGCUAGUCAGCCACCACUAUCAGGACUGCUCCCCACUGCACUCUCCAAGGAGCCCCGUCGCCCUCUCAUUGUCUUCUCUCCAGCAUCUAAACCAUUUUCUGAGUCUUCGGUAGAACAUGCUUAUGCUCUACCCUCUGUGCUAAAUAAAGUCCAUGAAAAUGAAAUGCCCUCACUGUGGUCUUAGUCUUCUUUAAAAAAAAAAAAGGCCUCAAGGCUCACAUGAUGAGGAGGCAUUCAAACAGAUCAUUCAAACAGAUCAAUAGAUGUUUGCCUGGCCUGGCAUCUGCAGUAUUUUUGUGUAGAGGGACUUCUUCCUCUUUGUUUUUCAGUUUGCAGAGGACAUGGAGCUCUUUUUAAAUGUGCUGACGAGCAGGGACUAUGGGUCAAUGCGAUGUUUGACAUUUAAUGGAGAGAUGAAGGAACUGGCUGUUUGGGUUUUGUUUUUUGUUUUUUUUAAUGUGUUGUUAGGUUGUUGUUUUGUUUUUGUUUUUUUUCAGUGUACAGAAUUCCAAUUAAAGUUAUUUCAAAAUGUUGUUUACUUGUUUCCAUGUCCAUACUUACAGUAAAACAUUACAGUGUAAAUGUAACAGCAUUGUUUUAUAUUGUUUUAUUGUUUUAUACUUGAAACUUCAAAUUUAAAAGCUUAGAGUUGCUAUUAACAUUAAUGUAUUACCCUGUAAUCAAUAACAUUUUUAUACAUUUUAUGCAUUAAGCCUCUGGGCUUUGUGCUGGCCAUUUGUAGCCACUUCACUUUUAUUUAUUUAUUUAUUACCAUUUUUGCAUCAAAUAUUACAUAGACUGCAGUGAAUUUAUUGAGCUUUGAGGUUCCCAGUCAAACGUAGCUUUGAAGCACGUGCUAAAAGAACUCUUGUACUUUUCAUAACAAGAUACCAUAUGCAAAAUAUUAACACUCAAAAAAAAUCAUAGGACAGUUCAAAGCUGCAGCACAAACAGCAAAAAAUACUGUUUGUAUAUGUGUCGGGGAGUUUAUGCAGGUGCACAAAGGACUACCGCUUUAAGUAAGUCUAACAGCUUCUUUCCAUCUUUUCUUUCUGAAAAGAUGGAAAGAAGAGCAUCACUGCUCUUUUCUACAAUCUCCCGGAUGUCUUGGAAUACAUUGCCUUUGUCCAAUGGAAACCGCUUCACAGUAGUAGCAGUCCUCUAAAACCUACAAAUGAGUAAUGAUCCUGGAAGAAAUGGGGCACACACUAGUGACUAAUAUAAAAUAGAUGAAGUAUACAAGAGAAUAGAACAAGAACACAAAUAGCCAGGGGUAAAAAAAACCCCCAAAAAACAUAUAUAUAUAUAUAUAAAUGCAUGCAACAACUCCACAUCCACAAGAAAAUAACAGAAAUAUAAUGUGUUUUAUUGUAAACUUACAUUUAUGGAUAAUAAAUUUAGCUAAAAGUAUUAACAAAAUAUGGGAUACAUCACAAAAACAACAUUUCUCGUGCGACGUAACUGAAGUCACGUGUUUCCGGUUACUGUGCAGGUCACAGUAUGGUGCUCCACAGUGGCUGCAGACAGGUGCUCCUGGAUUAACCUGUUUAAGACCCUUGUUCACAGGAAGUUAAUGAGUUGAGCAUGCUCAACUCUUUUUUUUUUUUUCUUAAAAAAAAAAAAUUUAAACGUAGGCAUAAUUUUUAAACAUUGUACAAUGUCAAAGGUUUUACUAAACAUAUAGUAAUAUUGUGAAAGAAAGCUAAUGUUAUGAGUAACGAUGGAACGAUCUGAUAUUACGUAUCGGUAUCGGUCCGAUACUGAUCUAAAUUACUGGAUCGGAUAUUGGAGAGAAAUUAAAAAUGUAAUCCGAUCCAUUAAAUAUCACGAAAGCACCUCACAAAACUUGCGACAUGGGGUAACUCAUAGUGGCUGUGGAAUGCGAGACCUCUCGGCAGUCUGGUUGAGCAUUUGGAGCCUCGCUACCAAACCGGCAUUUCAUCUCUGAGAAAGUUAUCCCAUAGAGAAGUAAAGCAAGUGUGUAAGUUCAUCUCUGAAUGUUUGUGAAGCAUUCCAGCGUUAAGCUUAACAACCGAUAUGUGGAGUGACUACCUCUUCUCUCCCCCUCCCUCUCCUGCUGCUACUUCAAUCAUGAAACUGAUCAAUGAUCAGCUGAUCGGCUUUUCUGUCGCGAGUCCGUCUCUCUUCUUUGUUUUUGGCCCACUUCUCAUCAGAAAGAGGAAACCAGCGGCUGAACAACAUCAGCACGUUAAGCUUGAUAAGCUGUUGUUAGAAUUUAUUUAAUAUUACUUUCUACACUAGGAUCCUUUUCUACAUAGCUGACGGCUGGUAACUGUGCAGGGGCGGAUCUAGCAAAGUUUACCCAAGGGGGCCGAUAGGGCAUGAACAGGGAAAAGGGGGCACAAAGACAUACUUUUCUUUCUUAUUCUCAUUUAAAAUGUCUAGCUUUUAAUAAAUAAUUAUCUGAAUCUUACACCCAGAGUUUUAAUGUGAUGUAAAAUGUAUAGAAGUCCAUUACUGUAUAUAGUAACCAUUAAGUUUAAUAUAUACCCUAGUAAGCUAUAGUACUUUUUCCAUUGGGAAGGUACCAUCUGUGCAGUCUGCAAUUCUGUUGAAGAAAGAUGUUGAAUCUAUUUAUUUUAAUUAAUUUUUAAUUUAAUUAUUGUUGAAAAAUAAUUGAUUUCUCUGCAUUGUUUUUUAACAUGUUCAUUAAAUUAAAGUUGAUUGCGUCAUAAGGCGGAGGGUGGGGGUGGUUCCCUAUUUUUUUUUUUUUUUUUUGCUAGGAGUUUGCAACCCUAUUAGUUAGGUUGCUUAAUAUUUCCGCUAAGUACUCUUUAAAAUACCAGAAUAGGGAGGAUGGAGUAGGUUUAAAUUUAUUAGAUUUAUCAGUAUUUCUGAACUAUGAAAUAGUUUUUGCAUACAGAUAUAACAGAAUAGCUUUAGCGUUUGUUUUUUUUAAAAACUUGAGUAUGAACUUAUACAAAGUGCAGCAAGAUAUUAAAAAAAAUUGUUUUAUUGAUUAAAAAACACACUAUAUCAGAUUCAUAUCGGUAUCGGCAGAUAUCCAAAUUUAUGAUAUCGUUAUCGGACAUAAAAAAGUGGUAUCGUGCCAUCUCUAGUUAUGAGAUUCAAAUAUUUUGUAAAAACACGUUACCAAAUGAUUGAUUUGUCCAUUUAUGAUAAGAUAUGAUAAGGUAAACCUUUAUUAGUCCCUCAAGUGGGACAUUUGCAUUGUCAAGAGUUAUGACAACUUGGGACACUUCACUGUGAAAACCAAGGCCGUUAUAACCACUGUCCAAAGGUAUUGUCAAGGUGGAAAUGUCAGAAGUGCAAAGUGUUUCUGUGCCUGAAUGCCCACCAGCAGUGCUUUGUUGCACAUCACCAGAAAUAAAGGACAUCUAACACCUCUAAAUUGCAGUUGCAGUUGGUUCUGUAGCACAACAACUCUCUUGUACUUGUUCUGUCUAGUCUGCUGCUAAGUUACAGAAGUUUAUAACUGAUUUAU
ensembl:lncRNA